rnacentral:rRNA from 1 species
CCUACGGGAGGCAGCAGUGGGGAAUAUUGCACAAUGGGGGAAACCCUGAUGCAGCGACGCCGCGUGAGUGAAGAAGUAAUUCGUUACGUAAAGCUCUAUCAGCAGGGAAGAAACACUGACCUUACGGUCCGCAGACGGUACCUGCGUAAGAAGCCCCGGCUAACUACGUGCCAGGAGCCGCGGUAAUACGUAGGGGGCAAGCGUUAUCGGGAUUUACUGGGUGGAAAGGGAGCGUAGACGGUGCGCCAAGGCGGGAGUGAAAUGCCGCAGCUUAACUGCGGGUCUGCAUUUGAAACUGGCGAACUAGAGUGCGGGAGGGGUAAGCGGAAUGCCUAGUGUAGCGGUGAAAUGCGUAGAUAGUAGGAGGAACACCGGUGGCGAAGGCGGCUUACUGGACCGUAACUGACGUUGAGGCUCGAAGGCGUGGGGAGCAAACAGGAUUAGAUACCCCUGUAGUC